GGAGACAGAAAGAGAGAGAUCCAGAGACCGAGUCUUACGUUGACACGCAGAGAGAAAGACGCAGAGACAGACAGAAACAAACAGAUAGGAGAGUGUUUAACCGCUGAAGAGAUCUUUUCCCUUCAUGGCUUUUCAAAUGCUACCCAAAUAACCAGCUCCAAAUUCUCUGUCAUCUGUCCAGCAGUCUUACAGCAAUUGAACUUUCACCCAUGUGAGGAUCGGCCCAAGCACAAAACAAGACCAAGUCAUUCGGAAGGCAUUUGGAUUUGAUCCCAAAGUCGACAGUUAUGUUGAGAAGGCGGUUGCUGUGUUUGGUGGAUUUUACCUACUUUUCUUUUUUGAAAGAAUGCUAAAGAUGUUAUUAAAGACAUAUGGUCAGAAUGGUCAUACCCACUUUGGAAAUGAUAACUUUG
rnacentral:sRNA from 1 species